GCUUGACUGCGCGACCUACAAGUCGGGCAGGGUCGAAAGACGGACUUAGUGAUCCGGUGGUUCCGCAUGGAAGGGCCAUCGCUCAACGGAUAAAAGCUACCCCGGGGAUAACAGGCUUAUCUCCCCCAAGAGUUCACAUCGACGGGGAGGUUUGGCACCUCGAUGUCGGCUCAUCGCAUCCUGGGGCUGUAGUCGGUCCCAAGGGUUGGGCUGUUCGCCCAUUAAAGCGGCACGCGAGCUGGGUUCAGAA
rnacentral:rRNA from 1 species